ensembl:lncRNA
CAACAUCAGAAUUCACUUCAUCUACAACAGAGAUAUCCUCAUCUAGUGUAGAACAAACAACAAACCAGCAGACACCAUCCACUCAAUAUCCUUCUACCACUGAAAUAGAAUCUACAACAACAGCUCCAUCAACACUUACAACAGCUGUGUCCGCUCUGAGCACAACCACAACAGAAUCAUCUACACGUGAAAGUGGUUCAACUGUGGGAACAAUAACAUCCACAACAGAUUCUACUCCAUCUUCACCAUCGUCUACAACAGAAGCACAGAUAACAACGGAAUUCACUUCAUCUACAACAGAGAUAUCCUCAUCUAGUGUAGAACAAACAACAAACCAGCAGACAACAACCACUCAAUAUACUUCUACCACUGAUAUAGAAUCUACAACAGCUCCAUCAACAUUUACAACAGCUGUGUCCCCCCUGAGCACAACCACAAUAGAAUCAUCUACAAGUGAAAGUGGUUCAACACUGGGAACAACAUCAUGUCCCACAGUUUCUACUGCAUCUUUAGCAUUGUCUACAACAGUAGGACAGACAACAUUAGAAUUCACUUCAUCUACAACAGAGAUAUCCUUAUCUAGUGUAGAACAAACAACAAACCAGCAGACACCAACCACUGAAUAUACUUCUACCACUGAUAUAGAAUCUACAACAGCUCCAUCAACAUUUACAACAGCUGUGUCCACCCUGAGCACAACCACAAUAGAAACAUUUAUAAGUGAAAGUGGUUCAACACUGGGAACAACAUCAUUUCCAACAGAUUCUACUCCAUCUUCACCAUCGUCUACAACAGAAGCACAGAUAACAACAGAAUUCACUUCAUCUACAACAGAGAUAUCCUCAUCUAGUGUAGAACAAACAACAAACCAGCAAACACCAUCCACUCAAUAUACUUCUACCACUGAUAUCGAAUCUACACCAACAGUUCCAUCAACAUUUACAACAGCUGUAUCUCCUGUGAGCACAACCACAAUAGAAUCAUCUACAAGUGAA